AAAAAGUCAUUGGCCCAGCACUUCCUCAGCCUUGCAGCGAAGACCAAGGCAAGUCCGCGACCCCACGCACGGGAAGAGUCUCGGCCUGCAGCGUCACCUCGGCCGCCCCUCGCGACCCUACCCCAGCCCCGCGGGCCCCGCCCUCCGAGACCCUCCCCCCGCCCCGCGCGCCCCGCCCCUCCCCGAGCCCCGCGCGCCCGCACCCCCGCGACCCUCCCCCGAGCCCCGCGCGCCCCGCCCUCCGCGACCCUCCCCCAGCCCCGCGCGCCCCGCCCCUCCGCGACCCUACCCAGCCCGGCGGGCCCCGCGCUCCGCGACCCUCCUCCAGCCUCGCGGGCCACGCGCUCCGCGACCCUCCCCCAGUCCCGCGGAUCCCGCCCUCCGCGACCCUCCCCGAGCCCCGCGCGCCCCGCCCUCCGCGACCCUCCCCCAGUCCCGCGGAUCCCGCCCUCCGCGACCCUCCCCGAGCCCCGCGCGCCCCGCCCCUCCGCGACCCUCCCAACGCCCCACGGGCCCCGCCCUCCGCGACCCUCCCCAGCCCCGCGCGCCCCUCCCCUCCGCGCCCCUCCUCGAGCCCCGCCCCUCUGCGCCCCUCCCCCCCCGCCCCGCGGGCCCCGCCCUCCGCGACCCUUCCCGAGCCCCGCGGGCUCCGCCCUCCGCGACUCUCCCCCCGCCCCGCGCGCCCCACCCCUCCGCGACGCAACCCCCGCCCCACGGGUCCCGCCCUCCGCGACCCUCCCCCAGCCCCGCGAGCUCCGCGCGCCCCACCCCUCCGCGACCCUACCCCGCCCCGUGGGUCCCGCCCUCCGCGACCCUCCCCGAGCCCCGCGCGCCCCACCCCUCCGCGACCCUACCCCGCCCCGCGGGUCCCGCCCUCCGCGACCCUCCCCAGCCCCGCGCGCCCCGCUCCUCCGCGACCCUCCCCGAGCCCGGCGCGGCCCACCCCUCCGCGACCCUCCCCCCGCUCCGCGGGUCCCGCCCUCCGCGACCCUCCCCCAGUCCUGCGGGCCACGCCCUCCGCCACCCUCCCCGAGCCCCGCGCGCCCCGCCCCUCCGCGACCCUCUCCUAGUCCCGUGGGCCCCGCCCUCCGCGACCCUACCCCCCGCCCCGCGGGCCCCGUCCCCCCGCGACCCUCCCCGAGCCCCGCGCGCCCCACCCCUCCGCGACCCUCCCCCCCCGCUCUGCUCGCCCCACCCCUCCGCGACCCUCCCCCAGUCCCGCGGGCCACGCCCUCCGCGACCCUCCCCGAGCCCCGCGCGCCCCGCCCCUCCGCGCCCCCCCCCCCCGCCCCCCGCGCCCCUCCCCGAGCCCCGCGCGCCCCACCCCUCCGCGCCCCUCCCCCGCAGCCCCGCGGGUCCCGCCCUCCGCGACCCUCCCCCAGUUCCGCGGGCCCCGCCCUCCGCGCCCGUCUCCUGGAGCCCCGCGGGCUCCGCCCCUCCUCGACCCUCCUCCAGCCCCGCGGGCCACGCCCCUCCACGACCCCAGCCCCGCGCGCCCCGCCCCGACCGCCGCUGGCGGGUCACGGGGGAAGGGUAGAGAGGGGGACGACGCUCGCGGGCGGACGCGGGCCGGGGGGGCGGGGCCAGGGCCGGGCGGGGCGGGGCCCGCGGGGCUAG
rnacentral:lncRNA from 1 species